GACGAACGCUGGCGGCGUGCUUAACACAUGCAAGUCGAACGAAGUGGCGGACGGGUGAGUAACGCGUAGUCAACCUGCCCUUCAGCGGGGGACAACAGUUGGAAACGACUGUUAAUACCGCAAACUGAAGGGGGGGAUGGGGUGUGAUUAGCUAGUUGGGGGGACAACGGCCCACCAAGGCGAUGAACAGUCGCCGGGCUGGAGGGGUGAACGGCCACAAUGGGACUGAGACACGGCCCAGACUCCUACGGGAGGCAGCAGUGGGGAAUCUUCCGCAAUGGACGAAAGUCUGGCGGAGCAACGCCGCGUGAGUGAUGACGGCCUUCGGGUUGGAAAGCUCUGUUAAUCGGGACGCGGUACCGGAAUAGAAAGCCACGGCUAACUACGUGCCAGCAGCCGCGGUAAUUC
rnacentral:rRNA from 1 species